rnacentral:rRNA from 1 species
AGUGAACGCUGGCGGUAGGCCUAACACAUGCAAGUCGAACGGCAGCACAGGAGAGCUUGCUCUCUGGGUGGCGAGUGGCGGACGGGUGAGGAAUACAUCGGAAUCUACUCUGUCGUGGGGGAUAACGUAGGGAAACUUACGCUAAUACCGCAUACGACCUACGGGUGAAAGCAGGGGAUCUUCGGACCUUGCGCGAUUGAAUGAGCCGAUGUCGGAUUAGCUAGUUGGCGGGGUACAGGCACACCAAGGCGACGAUCCGUAGCUGGUCUGAGAUGGUGAUCAGCCACACUGGAACUGAGACACGGUCCAGACUCCUACGGGAGGCAGCAGUGGGGAAUAUUGGACAAUGGGCGCAAGCCUGAUUCAGCCAUACCGCGUGGGUGAAGAAGGCCUUCGGGUUGUAAAGCCCUUUUGUUGGGAAAGAAAUCCAGCUGGCUAAUACCCGGUUGGGAUGACGGUACCCAAAGAAUAAGCACCGGCUAACUUCGUGCCAGCCGCCGCGGUAA